GGAUGGAUAAGAAAUAUAACAAAGAAAGAAAUUUGUGACCUAAAAGUACUCUCUCCGUUUCGUAUUAGCUGGCCUUCUUUUUAAAAAUAUUUUUUUCAAUUUAGUUGUUCAAGUUUUAAAAUCAGGAGUAUUUUAUACAUGUAUUUUCCAUUUUAUCCUUGAUAUGAAUACUAAAUAUAUCUACAAUCUUCAAAAUUAUUGAAUGGUGCAUAAGAUUUCAAUUCUCAAAAUCAAAUUUAAAUGAUUAUCGCCAGUUUCAAUUAUAAUUAAUCAAUGUUCUGGACGUCAUAUAUAGAAUGAAGAAAUAUAUACCAAAUUACAAUAGUUAAUCAUUGCAUUAAUUAUUGUACUUUAACAGAUAUACAAGGAUGAAUAUAUAAAAUAUAUUUUUUUUUAAUGGGCAUGCCAAGUGCAUAACGAUCAAUUAAUACGAAAUGAAAAAAAUAUCUACAUGAUUAUAAAUAAAAAUUAUUUUAAAUUUUAUUCAUCUUCUACAAAAAGUUACACUUUAUUCUUCCAGCUGAGCAGGGAGAUCACGAGAAACUAGUCUGAUCCCUAUAGUUCCCUUUGAGAGAUAGAAAGCCUAUCCAUCAGAAUAGGGAUGAGGUAAACGCAUAGCCUAGAGGUCCAAGCUUCGUAUACAAACAUAGUGGGCUAAUUUACCUGUUAUAAGUCAUUUUAUUACCUUAAAUUACUUUUAAAUAUAGAAAAAUAUCAUUAUUUUGACAUAUACUUAAAAAAAAAAAAAAAAUGUGUGUGCAUUUCAUAUACUAAACAAAGGAGUAGCAAGUUAGCUUUUUUAUAAAUUUCCAAAUUAAUAUUUAUGAAGGGAUUGGCGUAUAAUUACCUCAUAAGUGAUUUAAUUGAGUAAAUAUUUGUGAUGACUUCGGUAGUUCGGUACAUACGACUUAAUCUCCUCUUUAUAUAUAGUAGUAUCUAUAUUAGCAAAGUUUAAAGGCAAAUUUCUCUUGAAAUUCUAUAUCGGUGCCUUGGUCUCCUUAUAUAGUCUUGGACAAUCCUUUCCUCAUGAGCUAGUUUUUGAGGUUUGUCACACUCUUUUUUCGCUUGAAAGGUCGGGUUGAAGAGUUUUUUCAAUUAAAGUGACGGUUUUGAAUAGGGAUUAUUUUUAUCAUUUUCGGAGUCGUCACUUAAAAUUGAGUUAUGGUGUUCCAAGUCACCUUAUUGAAUCCCUAAUCAAAAGAAAUUGACUCUUUGUUGGUCUGCAAAAACAGAAGACCGGGUAAGUAAUUCUGUUGACCGAGAGGAAGGUGUGAGGUACCCCUCGAGUCCCGUAGUUCAAGCACGAUCGCUUUUAUCAACUUAUACUUAGCUUUAACUAUUUUGAUAGGUUAUGUUAAAGCCUAAAUUCACUCAUUUUUAAUUAUAUCAAAAACUUGUCUAUUAUCUUAUAUUAAAUAAAUCGAUGAAAAUUUAAAAUAUUUAUCAAGUUAAUUUAGAAAAAUAUUUAUUAAGGUAUAUUUUACAUCCUUAAAUUUUUAAAUGUUUCAAAAAAAUAUAUAUACCACAUUCUUAAUUAAGACGAGUAUUUUAAAUGUAUUUUUAAAUUUGCCUAGUACUAAAAAAAAUUGCCUAAAAUAUCAUCUAACUUUAAAAAUAACUUGAACAAAAUUCAUUAAAGACGAUUAACUAGUUUAACCAAUAAUUUAAAAUUUAUUAAUAACGACGAAUAAUUAAAAUAAAUAAACAAUAUAUAGAAAGAUAACAUCAUAUUAAAGCUAACCUUUAUUUUAAAAAUAUUGUAUGCAAUCAUAUUUUAAAAUAUUCCUAGCAGAUGUAUUAAAGAAAACAGAACUUCAACAUAUAAAAGAAAAUAUUCUUCAACCAACUACAUCUAUUAUACCCAUAUUAAAAUUAAAAAAAAAAUCUUUCAAAAUAAGAUUUUAACUGGAAGUGACAAAAAUAGAUAGGUAACGAUGGUUAUUCAACAUAACUAGCCCGCCGGUGACUAACUCCGGGAGGCGUGGCUGUGGCUGGGUUCACCGGUGCUUGGCUUACCCAUAGCAGCCAGAUCUCGUGGAAAAGAGGAGAGGCAGCGACGGCGUUAAACUUUGUCGGUGGGUUGAUGGACUGAUGGCGUAGGAAAAGGGGAAAAGGGGAGGCGCCAACGAGUAGAUCUGGGGAGGAGGAUGGUCAACGCGGGGAAGGGGAAGAAAGGACGGUGGCAGCGGAAGAAGCGCCGGCCGGUUCCGGCGAGGGAAAAGGAAAAAGGUGGCUGGCCGGAGAUGGUGACCUCGCUGGCCAUUUAGUCGCUGAUUUUAAUGGCUUCCAAGGGAGCUUUUUAAUUAUUUUUGAUGAGUUUCCGGUGAGGGAUUUGCCGAAAAAUUCAAGAAAAAUAAAAUAAUAUCCGCUCAUUCUUCUAUUUGUUUUCUCUCCCCUUUUUAUUACAAGAAUGUACAUGUAUACAAUAUAUGCAUUUUUAAUUGUGGUUUAUGAAUACUGUAUGUGGAUCUGUGAAUACUGUGAAUGUGCAGAAGUAUAUAAAUGAUUUGCAUAAUGUAUUUCUUGCCCAAUGAAUAAUAUCUGUGAAUUGUACAAAUAAUGCAAACAGUGAAUUCAUUUUUUUAUUGAACAAUAAUUAUUAAUAAUGUUUAAACAUUCAACAUAUCUGCAUACAAACAUAUAUAUUUUGUAACUUGAAUGCUAAAUAACGUUCAAGAUCACUUUUCAAUUUCUUAAUUUUUACGAAAGUUUACAAUAGAAAUAGAGUAUUAAAAUAGAACCUGUUAAUAUAUUGAAGCAAAAUUCAAAUGUCGUUUCUCUUUGUUUUUCUCUUUUCCCACCUCAACUUUUCUCUUUGUUUUUCUCUUUUUUCUCUCAAUUUUUUUUUCUCUCUGAUUUUUUUGUUUAAUCUGAUUUUUUGUGUCUGAUCAGUGUGUUGAUGAAUGUCCAUAGAUAGAAUUCUUAAAUAAAGGAUUAGAGGUGGGAACAGUUAUUCUUUUAGGAAGGAAUUUCAUCAACAGAUAAG
rnacentral:lncRNA from 1 species